ensembl:lncRNA
GGGGAAACAGAGGGAGAGAGGGAGUGAGAUUAGGGAAAACAGAGGGAGAGUGGGAGUGAGAUUAGGGGAAAACAGAGGGAGAGGGAGUGAGAUUAGGGGAAAACAGAGGGAGAGAGGGAGUGAGAUUAGGGAAAACAGAGGGAGAGAGGGAGUGAGAUUAGGGGAAAACAGAGGGAGAGAGGGAGUGAGAUGAGGGGAAAACAGAGGGAGAGAGGGAGUGAGAUUAGGGAAAAACAGAGGAAGAGAGGGAGAGAGAUUAGGGGAAAACAGAGGGAGUGAGAUUAGGGGAAAACAGAGGGAGAGAGGGAGUGAGAUUAGGGAAAAACAGAGGGAGAGUGGGAGUGAGAUUAGGGGAAAACAGAGGGAGAGAGGGAGAGAGAUUAGGGGAAAACAGAGGGAGUGAGAUUAGGGGAAAACAGAGUGAGAGAGGGAGUGAUAUUAUGGGAAAACAGACGGAGAGAGGGAGUGAGAUUAGGGGAAAACAGAGGGAGAGAGGGAGUGAGAUUAGGGAAAAACAGAGGGAGAGUGGGAGUGAGAUUAGGGGUAAACAGAGGGAGAGAGGGAGUGAGAUAAAGGGAAAACAGAGGGAGAGAGGGAGUGAGAUUAUGGGAAACAGAGGGAGAGAGGGAGUGAGAUUAGAGGAAAACAGAGGGAGAGAGGGAGAGAGAUUAGGGGAAAACAGAGGGAAGGGAGUGAUAUUAGGGGAAAACAGAGGGAGAGAGGGAGUGAGAUUAUGGGAAACAGAGGGAGAGAGGGAGUGAGAUUAGGGAAAACAGAGGGAGAGAGGGAGUGAGAUUAGGGGAAAACAGAGGGAGUGAUAUUAGGGGAAAACAGAGGGAGAGAGGGAGUGAGAUUGGGGGAAAACAGAGGGAGAGAGGGAGUGAGAUUAGGGGAAACAGAGGGAGUGAGAUUAAGGGAAAACAGAGGGAGAGAGGGAGUGAGAUUAGGGAAAACAGAGGGAGAGAGGGAGUGAGAUUAGGGGAAAACAGAGGAAGAGAGGGAGAGAGAUUAGGGGAAAACAGAGGGAGUGAGAUUAGGGGAAACAGAGGGAGAGAGGGAGUGAGAUUAGGGGAAAACAGAGGGAGUGAGAUUAAGGGAAAACAGAGGGAGAGAGGGAGUGAGAUUAGGGAAAACAGAGGGAGAGAGGGAGUGAUAUUAGGGGAAAACAGAGGGAGAGAGGGAGUGAGAUUAGGGGAAAACAGAGGGAGAGAGGGAGUGAGAUUAGGGAAAACAGAGGGAGAGAGGGAGUGAUAUUAGGGGAAAACAGAGGGAGAGAGGGAGUGAGAUUAGGGGAAAACAGAGGGAGAGAGGGAGUGAGAUUAGGGAAAACAGAGGGAGUGAGAUUAGGGGAAAACAGAGGGAGAGAGGGAGUGAGAUUAGGGGAAAACAGAGGGAGAGAGAUUAGGGGAGGGAGAGAGGGAGUGAGAGGGAGUGAGGGAGUGAGAUUAGGGGAAAACAGAGGGAGAGAGGGAGUGAGAUUAGGGAAAACAGAGGGAUAGAGGGAGUGAGAUUAG